CGAAUUAUUUCCUGCAAAACCGUUCCCGCUGAAAAUUAAAACAGGGCGGGUUUCUCUCCUGCCACCAAAACCCUAUCCUUUGUUGGCUCCCUUUUCAUUCCUAGCAAUACCUCACUGCUCCACGUCUCUUGGCCUUCUCCCUUCAAGAGAGAUUCUCAAUCAAUCGAACCGGCAUUGCAGGUCCUUCUCCUUCCGCCGAGGGUUUGUAUUCUCCGCUGUUGCUGGUUCUUCCUUCUGCUGAGACGGAACUCUUCUCUAUUUCUUUUUAUUCCUUCACCGUGGCACGAAAUCUUGAAGAAGAACGUCUGCUGUCUUUGUAGAGGAAUAGUAUGAUCUUGGAGCUCUGUAAUCGGUUGCUUCAAAGUUCCAGCAUUUGGUCAAGGAAGAACUGGGAGAACCCAAGAGACCCAGAUGAAGUGCUAGUGAAACUUGGAUGCUCCUAAGAGUGGUUGUUCCAAUGCUCGUAGUACUAAUGCAGAGUAGGUCCUUCAUGGAGUACUUCAUUUUGUGUUCUGAAGUACCACACUGUCAGGUUUUAUCAGAUGAUAAAAGAUGACCAUGUAUGAUCAAUAUGGUGAAGCUAUAGUUAAGAGUUUUGCUGGGGGAUCAGCUAGAGCUAGCAUCAUGGUAUUGCAGAUCUGCUUCUGCAGGCAUUAAAUCAUUCCGCAGUGUUUUUCACCCAUGGCCAUUAGAUAUUAUGGUUUUAAUAUUUUCGGUUUUAAUAGACUCAUUGUCACUGUCAUUAUUUUCUUCAUCUUCUCGCCAUUUUAUGUUUUGCAGCUACAUGAUUCUUGUUCUUUUUGGGAAAAAAGUUUGAAGUCUUGGGGAGAUCAGGUCAUUAAGGAACAACAAUUUACAAAAUUAGAUUUUUCGGAAGCAGAAGUAAUCUUUAUGCAGGUAAAUAUCAUGCUGAUAAAUACUUUGGUUUCUGCAUUAGUUGGGGUUCUUCCUUGCAAUUCUGUAUUGUUCACUUUUUCUUUUUUUAGUUCAGUUAAAGUCAGUUUUAAUAUGCAAUAAUUCUUUGUACUAUUGAUAUCCCACAUUGAAUAUGGAGUAUUGCUUGGAUGGAAUAUAACAUGUUAAAGUCAGUUUUAAUAUGCAUGUACAAUUUCUUCAUGUUCUAAUUCAUUCUUCCUUUAAUAUCCCAUUUUGCAUCAUUGAGAGUCUUCAUUUUUAUGUAGGUUGCGUCAUAUGUUAUUACAAUUCCAAUGCAGCAGUUUCCCACUUCUUCAUGGUUUUAAAUGAUUUUGUUGGCCAUGUCCAUGAUAUUAACACUACCCAUUCACUUUCUCUUGU